CUUGUUUUCGAUUUCAUCAUUUUUCUCUAUUAUUAUGAAUUCCACAUCUUGUCUACCAAUUGUUUUCAUUUAAAGAUUUUGAUUCUUAUUUAGAUUUUUCACAAUCUAUUUUGGUUCACAGAUUAGUUAAGCAUUAUUGUCUUCACCUACACGUUUAUAAUUGCAUAUAAUUUUAUUUAAAUAAUAUGUUAUAUCAGAGACAAGUUCAUAUCGAAUGAGUAAUAAAAUCAGAUCAGGAACAAAUUCAGAUCGAAUGGUAGACAAGAUAAUAUGAUAUAACUUGAUUUUUUGGUUAUUUUGCAAUAGAAAGAAAAAAAUCAAUAAAUCGGGUCGGAGAAGACAAUAAUGCUCAACUAAUCUGUAGACCAAAAUAGAUGGUGAAAAAUCUAAAUAAAAUUCGAAACCCUUAAAUGAGGACAAUUGGUGGACAAGAUCUGGGAUUCAUGAUAAUUUUGAAAGAUGAUGAAAUCAGAGACAAA